UAUAUACUCCCUCCGUUUGGAAAUACUUGUCAUCAAAAUGGAUAAAAGGGAUGUAUCUAGAUGUAUUUUAGUUUUAGAUACAUCCCUUUUUGUCCAUUUUGAUGACAAGUAUUUUCGGACAGAGGGAGUAUAAU
rnacentral:pre_miRNA from 1 species